UCGGAUAUGGUGUAAUGGCUAACAUUGCCGCCUCUCAUAUGCGUUGGUAUGUUCGCGGCAGCUCGGGGUUCGAUUCCCCGUAUCCGAG